AGAGUUUGAUCAUGGCUCAGGAUGAACGCUAGCUACAGGCUUAACACAUGCAAGUCGAGGGGCAGCAUGUUGGUUGCUUGCAACCAAUGAUGGCGACCGGCGCACGGGUGAGUAACGCGUAUCCAACCUACCCUUGUCCAUCGGAUAACCCGUCGAAAGGCGGCCUAACACGAUAUGCGGUUCUCAGCAGGCAUCUAACGAGAACGAAAUGUGAAGGAGAAGGAUGGGGAUGCGUCUGAUUAGCUUGUGGCGGGGUAACGGCCACAAGGCGACGAUCAGGUAGGGGUUCUGAGAGGAAGGUCCCCCANAUUGGAACUGAGACACGGUCAACUCUACGGGAGCA
rnacentral:rRNA from 1 species